UGCGCAGGCGGCUUUGCAAGACAGAUGUGAAAUCCCCGGGCUUAACCUGGGAACUGCAUUUGUGACUGCAUGGCUAGAGUACGGUAGAGGGGGAUGGAAUUCCGCGUGUAGCAGUGAAAUGCGUAGAUAUGCGGAGGAACACCGGUGGCGAAGGCAAUCCCCUGGACCUGUACUGACGCUCAUGCACGAAAGCGUGGGGAGCAAACAGGAUUAGAUACCCUGGUAGUCCACGCCCUAAACGAUGUCAACUGGUUGUUGGACGGCUUGCUGUUCAGUAACGAAGCUAACGCGUGAAGUUGACCGCCUGGGGAGUACGGCCGCAAGGUUGAA
rnacentral:rRNA from 1 species